UACGUAGGGACCAAGCGUUGUUCGGAUUUACUGGGCGUAAAGGGCGCGUAGGCGGCGCGGUAAGUCACUUGUGAAAUCUCUGAGCUUAACUCAGAACGGCCAAGUGAUACUGCAGUGCUAGAGUGUGGAAGGGGCAAUCGGAAUUCUUGGUGUAGCGGUGAAAUGCGCAGAUAUCAGGAGGAACACCAGUGGCGAAGGCGGGUGCUCUGGGCCGGAACUGACGCUGAGGAGCGAAAGCGUGGGGAGCAAACAGG
rnacentral:rRNA from 1 species